ACAAGUCGAGCGCCCCGCAAGGGGAGCGGCGGACGGGUGAGUAACGCGUGGGAACGUACCCCUUACUUCGGAAUAGCCUCGGGAAACUGGGAGUAAUACCGAAUGUGCUCUUCGGAGGAAAGAUUUAUCGGUAAGGGAUCGGCCCGCGUUGGAUUAGGUAGUUGGUGGGGUAAUGGCCUACCAGGCCGACGAUCCAUAGCUGGUUUGAGAGGAUGAUCAGCCACACUGGGACUGAGACACGGCCCAGACUCCUACGGGAGGCAGCAGUGGGGAAUCUUAGACAAUGGGCGCAAGCCUGAUCCAGCCAUGCCGCGUGGAUGAUGAAGGCCUUAGGGUUGUAAAAUCCUUUCGCCGGGGACGAUAAUGACGCCUACUAAUACUGGGUGUUGAUGACGGUACCGUAAGAAUAAGCACCGGCUAACUACGUGCCAGCAGCCGCGGUAAUACGUAGGGUGCGAGCGUUAAUCGGAAUUACUGGGCGUAAAGCGUGCGCAGGCGGUGUUGUAAGACAGUUGUGAAAUCCCCGGGCUUAACCUGGGAACUGCAUCUGUGACUGCAAUGCUGGAGUGCGGCAGAGGGGGAUGGAAUUCCGCGUGUAGCAGUGAAAUGCGUAGAUAUGUGGAGGAACACCGAUGGCGAAUGCAAUCCCCUUGGGCCUGCACGACUCUCAUGCACGAAAGCGUG
rnacentral:rRNA from 1 species